UACCUUUAAAAAAAACCCAAAAGUUUAUUUGCACAAGCUUAGUAGUAUGAGAUGCAACAUAAUUGGGGGGAAUCAACCGCUGUGGUAAUAUUUUAAUGGAUUAUUCCACAUAUUAGACAUUACAGUUUAAAUCUCUUUAACAUUAGCUCUCAUGUUGGAAUAACAUUUAAAUGAAUAAACAACAGUGAAUAUAACCAUAUGUUCAGUUUAUUCUCCCUAGUUUAUCCUGAAUCACAAUUUUAUUGUGAUUUGGGUCAUAAAAAUGACAAAUAAUUGUUUGUAUGUUUUCAUAAAUUGCAUGUUUUUUUAAUUAAUUCUGAAGAGAAUCUAGAAAUACAUUCUGCUUGGGUAAUAGACUUUAGGUGUACUUGUUAGCUCUUUGAUUUUUAACAUGAAUGGGUAACACUAUACCUGCUCUUAAAUUUAUUGUUCAUUGCA